CCCGUAGCUUGUCCCGCCUCUUCCUCUUCCACCUGGAGCGCUCCUGGGGAGGUCAUGGCUGCCGCGCGGCCUCCGCCCGGGUGCGCUGGUCGACGUAGGGCUCGCCUCCGGGGUGGCCGGCCUGGCCCGGGACCCUGUGCACGGAGUCCCUGAGCCCCGCCGCCCGCGACGCGCCCUCCUCCGAGCGUGCCACCCCUCCUCGAGCGUUCUAAGGAAGCCCUGAUCCGCCCCUGCGGCCCCGCCUCGUCAGUGGGUGCAGAACCACCAGGACCAUCAUCCUUGUUUAUUCGUUGGGGAGUCACUGGGACUCAGCUUCCUCAGCUGUAAACAGAAACGACGACAGCCGCUCCCUGAGCUGCCGUGAAGAUGGAAUAAAAGCAGGUGUGAAGCGCGCCGUGUGCACUGCCUGCUGGAGGCGGCCCUGGUGGCAGCGGUCGAGGAUGCGGACGGUGGCCGAGCCCGCGCACCACCUCCUGCCUUGUGCGCGGGGAUUCAUUCUUCCGCAGGGGACCCGGAGCAGUGGGGGACGAACACCCUCCCCCCACCCCCACAUCUCAUGGCGGUGGCGAAGAUGGCAGCGGUGCUGGCGAGGAGGCUGAUGACGGAGAUGAUGAAGAUGACGGCCGUGGCUCUCAGGAUGUGCGCAGCGAUCCCGAUUCACAGUCUGACCAUCGCUCUGCUGCGCGCCUCUUGCACAUUUCUCUUGGCCCUCCCACGGUCCGGCAGGAUGGAGUCAUGAUCCCCUGGCGCAGGAGGAACUGGGAUGCUGAGCGUUUGAGAAAUGAAGGACCAGGAUAUCAACCUCUCCCAGUCAGAUGGCAAAACCCGGCUUGUUUCACUGCACAGAAAGCAACGUCAGCUCCGUAUAGAAGACCCGGGAGGAGGAGGAUGUACAGUAGCAUAAUUAAAACCAAUAAACCAAUUAGGCAUUUAGAAAUACCCAACUUAGGGCGCCAAAGUGGCUUGGUUGGAAGAAGAUCCAGGAGGCACAUUUUAAAAAUCUGAAUAAACAUCUACUGCCACGGAAGGAGACAUAACAAAGAGAAAGGCUUAGAAAUGGAGUCAAGGAAACCAAAAAGGCAAAGGGGUGAUGCUUCUUCAUGGGAAGAAUCAGAGGGAGGGUUGUUUGGAACUGAGAUGUAUAAAGUUGUCCAUUCCAGCCUCCUGUCUCGAUGGAUGGCGUCAUCCUCUGAACCAGAAAGGGUCCUCCCAUAAGGCAGGAUACCCAGGAACGUCCAAGGGUGCUGUCUCCACACCUACCAUUCGCCUAUUGCAGGACAUCUAGGUGUUUCCAGUUUGGGGGCUAUUAUGAAUAAAACUGUUAAGAAUAUCCACA